GUAGGGCCGCUGCCCACCGGACAGGGAGGUGUCCACUCGGCACCCUCCCCACCAAUGCUAACUUCCAGGAAUGGUCCAAGGGCAGAUCUUCUUGAUACCUUCAGAGCAAGCAGAGGCCUUUUCAAGUUUUCCGUGAGGAUGUUUGAAUUCACACCAUGUCUGCUCUGCUGCUUCUGUCCCAGUGUAACAUGGCUGUCUGCAUUGUGGCAAAGUUCCCAGGGGUUGGUGCUCUUAGGGAGGCAUCGCCAGAUCCCCAGGAGAAGAGGAGGAAGGCAGAGCUGCAUGGGAGGGGCACAGAUGGAGGGCUGGGCCCAGCCAAACCCUGUACACAGCAGUGUGACAGAUGAGGCCCUCAGGGUCACUGUUCUGGCACAUUCUCCCAUCAGUCUUCCUCUUCUAGAAGCUGUUAGAGAUGCAUUCAGGGGAGACAAGCCCCUCAACCCUUUCUGUCUUCAUUCACAUUCUAAACACAGGCUCCCUCCACACAGCCAGGAACGGGCUGGCAGCCUGCAAGCAUCUUUCUCCUCCACACUACUUGCAGGUCACUGAGGAAGGCUGUGUAGCCAUGGGAAAUCACUCCAAGGCCCCAACCUGGAGCAUUUUACCAACUCUUGGUGUGACUUGGGAUAAAAGUGGCUCCACCCUUUUCAGUGUAUUUGUAAAAGUAUGUGAAUAGCAUCCUGUCCUCAGAAAUCAGACCAGGCAUGUAUCUCUUGUGUCCCUGCCUCUCCAAUGUGGUCUUGGACCCAGAGGCUCCUGUAACCUACCCAGGGCAGCGCCAGGGGUGGGUUUGAUGGGCACUGGAAAGGAGAAACACUGGCUGAGGCCACCCAGCCACACACAGCAAGCAUUAUUGAGCCUGGGGUGGUCAGUGGUUGUUUGGUCUUGGCAGGUUGUGGGGGUGGGGGCUCUGUGAAAGAGGAGCUUGCUGAGAGAUGGGAAGAUACUAACUGGAUUGCAUUGAGCACAUAAUCAGAACGAGGAGGGAGAGGGUGUGCAUGGGAAUGCAGCUCCCUGGGUAGGACUCAUCUCUCAUCCCGGGAUCAUACAUGCAGUCUGAUUGGCAGAGGGAGGACCCAUCCCAGGAUCAUACAUGCAGUCUGAUUGGCAGAGGGAGGACCCAUCCCAAGAUCAUACAUGCAGUCUGAUUGGCAGUCAGAAGGAGCACCCAUCCCAGGAUCAUACAUGCAGUCUGAUUGGCAGAGGGAGGACCCAUCCCAGGAUCAUACAUGCAGUCUGAUUGGCAGUCAGAGAGAGGACCCAUCCCAGGAUCAUACAUGCAGUCUGAUUGGCAGAGGGAGCAUCCAUCCCAGGAUCAUACAUGCAGUCUGAUUGGCAGAGGGAGCACCCAUCCCAGGAUCAUACAUGCAGUCUGAUUGGCAGAGGGAGCACCCAUCCCAGGAUCAUACAUGCAAUCUGAUUGGCAGUCAGAGAGAGGACCCAUCCCAGGAUCAUACAUGCAGUCUGAUUGGCAGAAAGAGGGAGCACCCAUCCCAAGAUUAUACAUGCAGUCUGAUUGCAGAGGGAGGACCCAUCCCAGGAUCAUAAAUGCAGUUUGAUUGGCAGAGAGAGGACCCAUCCCAGAAUCAUACAUGCAGUCUGAUUGGCAGUCAGCAGGGAGCUUGCUCUGUCCCCUGCAUAGUUUGUAGUGUUGAUGUAUAUUUAAUCCCAGGCUAAGUGUCGUGUGUUCUAAGAGCAAAUCAGUGUAGCCAAGACGCCUAGAUCCCCAUGUGUGUGUAGUAUUGUGGGGAGCAAUUCUUGUGUAUGUAGUGUCAUGGGGAGCAGGGUGGGCCACGUGUGUUUUUGAAAUGAACUAAUCAGAGCUUCUUGAGAAAUUGUUGAACUUGAGCAUCAAGGCGUCCACUGCAGUGGAUUCUGGUUUUUCAUUUCCCAGGCCAAAGGGCUCCAUGUCCAUGCUCUGCCCGUGUUUACACGGGGUGGGCUGAAGAAUAAGAUAUGGCUGAAUAGCCAGCCCCUUGGACUCGUUUUACUCCAAGGACGUGGACUCCUGGGCCUCUGCAGGACACACUGGGGGACACUGCUGCUCUGACUGGGACUCCCAACCCUGGGGUCCUGGUUUCGAUGAUGCAACAAAGCACAACUUUCACUGUUUACAACUUGGACAACCACGUGGGUCCAAAACAUUCCUCUUCCCCCGGGUCAUGUGUGUGUGUUUUGACUUCAAUUCCUCUCCUUUUUUAAAAAAGAAGCACACUGGAACACUGCUGCCCUGGGACUGGUCAGGGUAACCCAGAUGCCCACAACUCAAUUUUGUUUGUCUUUUUGAAAGCAAAGUUCUUAAGCCUGAUGACUGAGAGGGCUCAACGAUUUUAUAUCUCCGUGUUUGUGUAAGAUAAACUUUGUUUUCCGUUGAACCUGGGUCAGGGUCCUGCUACGGUGGAUGCUGGUGGUGUCCAUGGGAACCACUUCUGGGCGUCUCCUCUGUGCUGCUCCGGGAUGUGGCCCCACCCUGGGGGAGAGGUCCUUUGGCAGGGGUGAACUUGAAGCUGACCUGUGCAUGUUUCUCUGAGAAACUUGGCUCAUUUCUACUUUGUUCUCUUUUGAUAGGGUCUUAUUUCCUGUGUAUGCAAAAUAAAGUAAAUUGGGCAUUAAUUUCUUCACUUUGCUGGGGAGUGGGAAGAAGGCAGAGAUGAUAUUUCUGGUGAGAAUAGGCAGGGGUCCUUAGUUCAGUGGGUAGGGUGGGAGACACACACAAUCUCAGGAGAAGGAAGGGACUUCUUCCCCAGCACAUUGGAAAACCAAGCCGGGGAAGGAGUUGUCGCUGGGGAGCAGGUGUGGAGAAGCCUUGUUGGGGUCACCCAGGCCGCUGAGGCAGCCUCAUCGGCCUGGUUCCUCCAACUGCUUGUACAGCCAGGUGAGCUGUCACUUGGAGAUCCAGCUCUAUAAAUAGAUAAGUAAGUAAGUAAUAAAGAAGGAGUGAAUACCUGGGUUCAAGUCCUGCUUCCAGUUCCAGCUUCCUGCUGAUGUACUCCCUGGGAGACAGCAGUGAUGGCUCAGGGGGUUGGGGUCCUGACACCUAUGUGGAAGACCUGGCAGUUGCAACAGUUUGAGGAGUGAACUGGAAGAUGGGCGCACGCUCGCUCUCUCUUUCUCUUUCAUUCAAAUAUUUUUUUAAGAUUUAUUUAUUUAUUAGAGAGGCAGAGGUAGAGAGAGAGAGGUCUUCUGUCUGCUGGUUCACUCCCCAGAUGGCCGCAACGGCCAGAGCUGCGCCAGUCUGGAGACAGGAGCUUCUUCCGGGUCUCCUACGUGGGUGCUGGGGCCCAAGGACUUGAGCCAAGGACUUCUGCUUUCCCAGGCCAUAGCAGAGAGCUGGAUUGGAAGUGAAACAGCUAGGACUUGACCCCGGUGUCCAUAUGGGAUGCCUGCACUGCAGGCGGUGGCUUUACCCACUAUGCCACAGUGCUAGCCCCACUCACUCAAAUUUUUUUUUUUUUUUAAAGAAAAUUAACACCCAGCUUCCCAUGAUCAGAAACUGUACUUUUGACAUGCCCUUCUGUGCUGAAGAAACAUUUGCAAACCCCUAGUCUACAGAACCCUUCUGAGAACCCAUCUGAGACUCUGAUGUUAUCUGUCUCUGAGAGGUUGGCAGUGUACCUCCCGCACUUAUCCACUUAGAAGACCACAGUCCUUUGGCAGGGGUGAGAGGGGCUCCAUCCAUGCUGUGGGGGCUGCCCUGCCUCUCCAUGACUCUGCCUUCUUGCUCAGGUGCCUGAGAACACUGGACCCUGAAGGCACAGCUCACCCCUAGGGAGUGGGGCUGCCUUCCUCUUAUUCCUCCUAGACCCUGUGACUGGGUCUUCCUUGGCCUCAGCCCCAGAAUCUGGGAGUGGUGGUGGUGGGAGCAGGGAGGGUUCACUGUUGUGCUCUUGGCUGUGGGCAGACACCAAGAUGACAACUGAGUUUCAUGGGAACCUCCUGCUGCCUCUUUUCCCCUCUCUGUAAAGUGGGGUCAAGGGGGCCCUUGGGGUGUGCUGGGGGUUGAGAGGGUGAGAUAGACCCCUGUGGGAGGAUCCCAGUGCUGUUCCAGGUGCUGCUACAGAUCCAGGCACAAAGUGGGGGCCACAAGCCUGGCUCUGCACCCACCCCACCCCCCUUCCUGCUGGCACUUGCACUCCUCCAGCCCCUUGGUAUGCCUUGCCCACAGCUGGUUCAUGGAGGGCAAGGUCAUGGAUCCAGACCUGUAGGAGCAUUGAUGCUGAGAGGUAUCUGGGAGAACCUGCUAAGCACUAACAGGUUUUCAUUCAAAAAUAAAACAAGCCUGUGUCUUCUUUUUAAAAAGCUAAUCAUGAAAAUACCGGCGCUGCAGCUCAAUAGGCUAAUCCUCCGCCUUGCGGCGCUGGCACACCAGGUUCUAGUCCCGGUCGGGGCGCCGGAUUCUGUCCCAGUUGCCCCUCUUCCAGGCCAGCUCUCUGCUGUGGCCCGGGAGUGCAGUGGAGGAUGGCCCAAGUGCUUGGGCCCUGCACCCCAUGGGAGACCAGGAGAAGCUCCUGGCUCCUGCCUUUGGAUCAGUGCGGUGCGCCGGCUGCAGCACGCCAGCUGCGGCGGCCAUUGGAGGGUGAACCACUGGCAAGGGAAGACCUUUCUCUCUGUCUCUCUCACUGUCCACUCUGCCUGUCAAAAAAAAAAAAAAAGAAAAUACCAGAUGCUCAUUGCAGAAAAAUGCAGACACUACCAGAAACAUCAAGGAGCAGGGAAAGCACCAUGUGGGACCCCCAGCAGGUAUGUGAUCCACUCCUUUCUUGCUCUUGGGCCCUGGCCACACAACUUGGGACCAGACCUCUUAUCUUCCUGGCCAAUUUCCUCAGCCCUAAACCCCCACCCUCACCAGCUGGAGUCGCUGCUGGGUAACAAAGGCUCACCCUGCAGCAGGUGCACUCCCAGCCCUGCUUCCCUGACUGGAGUCAGAGGGUCCGUUGAGAGCCCAGGUCCCUGGGGCCCGCAGACUUACUCUAGGAGUGCAGCCAUUCCUGAGAUGCCCCAGGCCGCUGUUCCCAGUGAGAGGCAGAUGGGUUCCUGCAAACCCUUGGGCACUGCCCCCACCAUCAGCCCACAUUUUGCUUAUGUUCCCUCUGCUUUUGUGACUUUACCCCUUAAGUGUUCUCUUUCAUUUUGAACUUUAUGAUAAUAUAUUCUCUCCAAUUUGCUUUUCUGUUCAAGCUAUUGCUCACUUUUCUCUGUGGUAAAUAAGGAGGUGCUGAGCAUGCUGCUUGAACUUGUUUCCUGAUAUUUUAUUUUAUUUAUGUAAGUGACACAAAUUACCUUCAGAAUGAUCAUGCUGACGGGCUUCACCAGCCUUUGCCAAUGCUGUCUUAUUGGCAGUUACAUAUGAAAAUCAUUACAGUGCUAUAAUGCUUUCAGGUGAAUCACAAGAGUAAUUGCUCCAAAUGAUUUAGUCCAUAUUUGAUUUUGCCAGUUUGAGAAAUGAGUGCCCUUGUGGUCUUUAUUGCCCGAGUCCCUCACUGCCUGUGAGAGCCAUGUCCUUGAAAGGAUCUUUGGUUGGUGAAAUCAAGGCUGGCAGGAUUGCACUUUCCCAGGAAACAGGGAAGUGGGAAAAAGGUUGACACUGCAUUUAACGUGUAUUUAACUUGUGAGCUAUAGCAAUAAGCAUGUUAAGUUUACAGCACAUGUAGUGUCAGAUGUGUGUAAGGAAUGUGGCAUUAAACAGUGUGUGUGUACCUGUGAAGUCUCAAGAUGCAGAGGUUUAAAGCUGUUUCCAAACCUCCUGUGUAGAAAUCUUCUUUGCUGCACUGUCUACCAGUCCUUUGAUGAUGUGGCUGUUCCUCUUUUGUUGUCCCCAGCAUUGGACGACUGUCAUUUCUGUCAUUUCCAGAGGCUCCAAAACUACCUGGAGGAGAGCCAAGGUCUCUUCUGUGUUAGGAUGGUAGGCUUACUGACUGCAAAGGACUCUCUCUCCAAAUUGCUGCAUGUGCAUGUAGCACAAGAAAAGCAUACUUGGAGUCUGUACAUACUGACUCAGCUCUUUUCCCAGUUCUAAGCUGGUCAAGGCAGUAAGUUCAGCCCUUUGGCCUGAAGUUUUGGGUGGCAAUGCCUGAAUCUGCACUUGAGUGAGACCCACUGUGGCAUAGCCUGCCUUUCUAAUGCCUUCCUCCAUGAAACUGCUGCCGUCAGUGAGCCAUUCAACAUCUAGGUUUUGCAGUGGUUCAUCUUAUAGAUGAGGCCUGUUGGAGAGCUGCUCUGUGGUCUCUACACAAGAGCCAGCUUUUCGGAAGGCAGGAGAGUAGCUAGAUUGGGGACUUGGUGUACUUGAGAGUAAUCUGGGGUAAGUCUAAAAGGAGAGCCUGGUACUUAGUAAGGUCUCUUCCUAUUAACCAUUGGUGUCCUUUAAUCUCUAGAGCUUCUGGUGUGGAGGUUGAACUAAAAGGGCUGACAUAAAGUCAGCUUGGUUUUCUCUACCAAAGUGUGGUAGUCACAGCAUCUCUCAAGGAUGCAGGCCAUCCUGUGGUCACUGAUUUCUGUUGUUUGGGAAAACAGCCACUGCUCAUAAAUGGGCCCAAUUUUUGAGUGAAAACACCUGGGGCUAUUCCUUGCCAUUCUGCUGCAGAGUGAAAGGCUUGUCUAGAUUAGGGAUUCCUAGUGCAGGACUCUUCAUCAGUUGGUCCUAUUUUGAAAGUCCUUUCAGGUGGAUCAGUGGCAGUACUCUUUAAGGCCUCAAACAAGGGUUUGGCUAUCAACCCAAGUCCUGGAAUCCAGAUCCUGCAGAAAACUGCCAUUCCCAGGAGUGUUUCCAGCUGUUCCUUGUGGUGGCCUUCUAUGUAAUACAGCUUGCUUUCACUUCAGAAGGCAUGCUUCCUUGGGGUCAGGACAUAUCCCAGGUAGGUGACUUCCUCUUUAGAAAUCAGAGCUUUGGGUUGGGAGACUUUAUAUCUUCAUUCCCCUAAAAGUUUAAGACUUGGAUGGUGUUUCAUCUGCAUCCUCCUUAGAAGGACUGCAAAUGAGAAUAUUAUCUACACAUUGUAGAUUGGCUCCAGUCUUUAUUGGAGCUCCCUAAGGUGAAGGCUAUCCCUAAAGCUCUGAGAAAGGACCUUCCAUAUGUACUGUUGAGUUGUAUUUGAGGAUGGAUCAGUAUAUUCAAAAGCAGACAGACAUUCUGGUUGUCUUUUUUCAAAAAUUAAUUAUUUGAAAGUCAAAGAUCUUCCAUGCACUGGUUCACUCCCCAGAUGGUCACAACAGCCAGGCUUGGGCCAGUCUGAAGCUAGGAACCAGGAGCUUCUUCCAGGUUUCCCAUGUGUAUAUCCAGGUGUUAAGCACAUGGGCCAUCUUCUGCUUUCCCCAGGCCAUUAGCAGGGAGCUGGAUUGGGAAUGGAGCAGCUGAGACUUGAACCAGCACCCAUAUAGGAUGCUGGCAGUCCAGGCAGCAGCUUUACCCACUACACCACAAUGCCGGCCCCCAGGAUUCUGGGUUUAAUGAUAUACAGAAGAACCAAGAGGUCUAAGACUGAACCAAGAGGUACCUUCAGUUAUCUGGGCUGAUAGUAUAGGGAUUGGUACAACUGGAUGAUGUGCAAUCACUGCUCACUAAUUUCUGUAUUCCACAAUUGGCUUUGAAACAGGCAGAAUAGGGUUGGUACAAGGAUAUUGAUCUGGACUGAAGGAUUAGAGUCUCCACUAAGCGUUUUGUCUUAAGAGGUACUGGUGUCCAUGAGGAAAUGUCUAAAGAGAAUUGUAAUGGGGUGCUGUGUAUGACCUGUCCAGGUGUGCCUUGCCUUGAUCCCAGACUUGAGGAUCUGCUCUAUCUUUUGAUUUCUGGAGGAAGAUCAAAAGGCCUACGCCUUAUCUCAGUACUCAUUAGAGUCUUGACAAAAGAUUCAGACUUGGAAGCAGUUAACCUGAGAGAAAUACCCAGUGUUGACAGCAGAUUCCUGCCUAUGUAAAGGAUACUCGGGCACCAACCUAAAACUGGGGAGAGAUGAGAACAUCUUCUGUCUGGCAAACUAAGGGCAAAGUAAAUUCUGGGGAGUGAGGCCUGCCAUCAACUCCUGUGAUGACAUAGCUGUAUGAGGACAGGGCUCCUGGGUCACAGUUCAGUAAAGUGGCUCCUGGGUCAACUAGGAAGUCAAUAUUCUUUCCUGCAACAUCGAAGGUUGACCCAGGGCUCCAGGUGUGAGAUGUUUAUUUGGGCUGUGGGAGCUGCUUUGAGUCAUGUAAUGGGGAAACAGUUGGGAGACCCAGGUGGGUGUUUCACAAGCACUGUUUUUAAUGUGUGAAUUUUUCCAUUUGACAAAAAUAGACUUUCCAUACAGGACUAAAUCACAAAAUUAAGAUGCUGGCAAAAUAUUCCAAUGUGAGAAUAUCAGAAAAUCAUAGUCUGGGGGCCAACAGUGCCUGCCUCACACCACCUCUGAGCAAGGUUCCAACAAAGGACAGUAGUGCUGAUGACGGCAGUGACCGACCACAGGGAGCUCCAUAUAUGCUAAUUAUGAUGGCUGUCCAGUGCCACUCCAGGAAGUUACCCAGGACCGGGACCACCCCCUCCUUCAAGCCCAAUGAGUGUUACACUGGAGGCUGGGCUGACUACUGCCUGGAAGAUGCACAC